rnacentral:rRNA from 1 species
AAAAACUGUCUCAGCUUAAAGACUUGAAUUUCCCCUUUAAGUGAAAAGGCUUAAAUAAUUUAAAGGGACGAUAAGACCCUAUAAAACUUUUAUAAUUAGUUUUAUUCAAUGAUUUUAAGUUUAAAAAAAGUUAAAAGGAUUUUAUUUUAUUGGGGUGAUUAUUAUAUAAACAUGUGUAUAAAUAACUGUAGUUAAAAUUAAUAAUUAUUAUUAGAAAAAUGAUCCUUUAAUAAGGAUUAAAAGAUAAAGUUACUUUAGGGAUAACAGCGUUAUUUUCUUGGAGAGUUCAUAUUGAUAAGAUAAGUUGCGACCUCGAUGUUGAAUUAAGGUGUCUUGUAAAUGUAGCAGUUUAUUAAGUUGGUCUGUUCGACCAUUAAAACCUUACAUGAU